rnacentral:rRNA from 1 species
GGUACUCUCAAUUUGGAGCUUAAGCCAUGCAUACUACUGACUGCGUACCCGGCAACGGGUAGAGCUAUCAGCGUGCACGGCUCAGUAGAUCGAUGGGAUGAACGAGCAGUGCUACACUUCAAGGUGAUAACCACGGAAACGCUGUGGCUAAUACCGUUCCCAACUCCACGCGCCUCGUGCGCGUGGAAACCCCGCCGGUCCGUACCCUCGGCUCGGCCGGCCGCCUCGCGCGGUCGCGUUUCCGACCGGGGUGGGGAGAUUCGCCGGAGGGGAACACGAAGUAACUAAUCUGUCGAACCACUGCCAGCCGGUUCGCCUUAUCAUUGUCUGAUAACUUGAACUCUACUAGUCAUGGCUAUAACGGGUAACGGAGGGUGAAAGCUCGACGCCGGAGAGGUAGCCUGAGACACGGCUGCCACUUCUAAGGAAGGCAGCAGGCGCGAAAAUUACCCCAAUCUGUGCGGUUGGGGGAGGUAGUUACGCAAAAUACCGACUCCGUACCCACGAGACGGGUAUGGCUUGAGGAAUGUGAGCCGCCCAAGCCAUGGCCCGUAACGCUACUGGAGGGCAAGCCUGGUGCCAGCAGCCGCGGUAAUUCCAGCUCCGGUAGCGUAUGAAAGGCCUGUUAAGGCUGAAAAGCUCGUUGUUGGGUCUGCGUGUGGAAAGUACGGCAGCCACUCAAUAUCACGAGUGCCUGUCCGAAACCCACACUACCACCCGUUUCCAGCCGAAGUGGCGUGCGGUCCUCCUAACCGAGCGCUGUGCGCCACAGGCGAGCCGCCUUUGAGAAAAGUAGGUUGCUCAGAGUACGAGCUCUUGCCGCUUGCACUACCGUCUGCUUUGCACGGUCGGUACCACCUCUCUCCCCAACGUUCCCUGGAUCCUCCGGGGUUGGCGUGCAGGCCGUCGGGUGUCGCUUCCGCCCCGCAAGCGCGGGGCCUCUGUGCCUUCAGCGCUUCGGGAUCCGGGGCCCCCGGCGCCGGCGUCCUCCGAGUUCCAGCGAGUGGAGAGAGGGAACCCUGACAGCGGGGGAGAGCUGUGGAACCGUAUCUAGAGAGGUGAAAUUCAGAAACGGUGUUGUGGCGGGGCGCGGCGAAGGCGUCCGCCCAACACCUGUGUUCCGCUGAAGAUCGAAAGUUUAAGGAUCAAAGGCGAUUAGAUACCGCCGUAGUUGUCACCGUAAACCAUGCCGACCGGUUAUUCGCAUCAGUUUACGGUAGAACACUGUGAGCGACCAGACGGGAAGCCAGAGUCCUAAAGGCUCCUGGGGGAAGUAUGGUCGCAAGGCUGAAAACUUAAAGGAAUUGACGGAAAUGACACCACCAGGAGUGGAGCCUGCGGCUUAAUUUGACUCAACGCGGGGAAACUUACCCGGCCUGGACACUGCUAACGACUGACAGGCUGAGAGACCUUUCUCGAUGCGGUGGGUGGUGGUGCAUGGCCGUUCCUGGUUGGUGGAGUGAUCUGUCUGGUCAAUUCCGAUAACGAACGAGACUCUAGCCUGCUAACUAGCCGAGCGACGAACCGGUUUACCAAACCCGGCGUCGCCCGCACUUCUUAGAGGGACAAACGGCCCCGAGCCGUAUGAAAUAGGGCAAUAACAGGUCUGUGAUGCCCUUAGAUGUUCGGGGCCGCACGCGUGCGACAAUGGUGGAACGAGCGCGUGUCCGUCCAACCUGGUCCAAGCGGACACGGUAAACCGCUCAAUCUCUUCCGUACUCGGGACUGAGGCGUGGAAUUCCUCUCACGAACGAGGAAUUCCUAGUAGGUGCGGGUCACUCAUCUUGCGCCGACUACGUCCCUGUCCUUUGUACACACCGCCCGUCGCUACUACCGAUUGAAUGAUUUAGUGAGACUAUCGGACCGGAACCCGCGUUCGCGCGGGCCAAGGGAAGAUGACCAAACUGUACCAUUUAGAGGAAGUAAAAGUCGUAACAAGGUUUCC